rnacentral:rRNA from 1 species
CUACGGGUCGCAGCAGUAGGGAAUAUUGCUUAAUGGGCGAAAGCCUGAAGCAGCAACGCCGCGUGUGCGAUGAAGGCCUUCGGGUUGUAAAGCACUUUUUGGAGGGAUGAGGAAGGACAGUACCUCUAGAAUAAGCCUCGGCUAACUACGUGCCAGCAGCCGCGGUAAAACGUAGGAGGCGAGCGUUAUCCGGUUUUACUGGGCGUAAAGCGCGUGUAGGCGGAUCGGUAAGUUGGCUGUGAAAGCUCCUGGCUUAACUAGGAGAGGUCGGUCAAUACUGUCGGUCUAGAGUAUGUGAGAGGGAAGUGGAAUUCCGGGUGUAGUGGUGAAAUGCGUAGAUAUCCGGAGGAACACCAGAGGCGAAAGCGGCUUCCUGGCACAUAACUGACGCUCAGACGCGAAAGCUAGGGGAGCGAACGGGAUUAGAUACCUGUGUAGUC